GUUAUUGGAUGUUCCAUCAUACUUGUGGGCCAGGACUUAGUUAAAUGGCUACACCUUGCUACAAGGAAGUCUGGGAAAUACAGUCUUUCAGCUGGAUACAUCCCCCUGGCCUGAAUAAAAGCUGGGUUCUCUUACAAAGCACAAAAAGGGGAUUGAAUAUUGGUUAGGCACCUGUCAAUCUUUCAUAUCAGCCCACGUGAGAUAGCCAGGGUUUGGUGAAAUAAAAUGCUGUUUCUCCUCAAAACACUUCUCUCUUCCUGAUUGGGGAGGGACCCUGUUCUCUGCAGAGAAAUUCUUUCUCAUGACAGGGCCAACAUGUCUGCCAAAAGACAGCAAUAGGACUUCCCAAUCAUUCUAUAUAUUUAAGGGAGACUUUUUAAAAACUACAAUACGGUUGAACUCAUGUGAUUUUUUUUUUUGCCAUGAAGUUUCUUGUUAAGCAUUGAACAUUUAAAAGUAAAUUUUGACUAAUGUGAAAUAAAAGAAUGUUACUUGAAGCAACAAAAAA
rnacentral:lncRNA from 10 species